CCAAUGUGCACGCGACAGACAGGAGCCGCCUCGCGGUUUUCAGAAGCAGCUGCCUGCUGCACACGCACGUUGUUAGUAAAUGAGUCAAAAAACAGGAAGCGGUGUCAUGGAUCCUCACCUGCUUGUGGACGUGCUGCUUUAGCUGGUGUAUUUUUUCUUUCAGCUCCUGGAUCUGACUCUGAGCUCGCUCCCUGUCGGCACGCUCUGACUUAAAAUCUUCGGUGUAGAUCAGAACCUGUAGACACAAAACACGGACACGACUAUUAAUGUGAUUCAAAAAAACGAACUGGAUAUUUCCUUUUUUUAAAUGUAUGUGUGUUUUGCUACUGUAGUCUGCCACUGUGUAGUGUGUUUGCUAACUUUGUUUGUUUCUGAGGUGGUUGUGUGAGAAUAUGUGUUUUGAAGUGUGAUUUUGACAAGUGUAGUGAUUUUGGCGUGUUGUGUAUAAAUGUGUAAUAUAUAGGGCUGGGAUUCGCUUAAAAUAAAAAUAAUUAAUUAGAGAAUUUGUGAUUAAUUAAUCUCAAUUAAUCGCAGUUUAAUGGUAUCAGAAUAUUUGUCACAAGAAGCCACACUUUUCAAUUUGAAUGAAUGUGGCAUAUUACUGAAUCAAAUGAUGGAGCCAUACAUACAUUUAAACAGCAAAAUAUUGUUUGUUUUGCAUCAGUUUGACAAUAGCCCAAUAAACCACGAUGGUGGCUAUAUUCAAGUUUUUAUAUCACCUUAUUUAAACUAAAGCUCUUUUAAUGUCUUGAAAAUAUUUGUAUAAGAAAUUCAAUGUUAUAAGAAUGUCAAGUCCAUUCAGAGUAGUGCAAACCCUGGCCAUUGUGUAGUGAAAAACAUCUCUGAACAAAAACAGAUGCUUUUGUUUGCUUUUGUUCAGGGAUUCCUCCAUGUUUGUUGUUGUUGUUCUCAUCCUAGCUGCCACGUGUCUUGUGCAUCAGUGGGAUCAGUGGCCCAGGAACCCCUGCACUUACAAAGGUUCCCUGUUGUCUGGAGGGCAAACUGUCAAAUUAAAUUAAUUAAUCGUAAAUAAAUUGUGAAAGUCCCACCACUAAUGUGUUAAUAAUGUGUGUGUUUUGGUUCCCCAUUCUAAUGUUACAUGUCUGUUAGUGUACAAAUGUAGGAAAGCCGGUCCACCUGCUGCUCCAGCGUCUGGAUGCGCUCUCUGUCCUGCCGCCUGUCGUCUUCCAUUUCUCUCUCCAGUCGCUCGCACUCCACCACCUUCUCCUCCAGCAAGCCGUUGAGUCGGGAGAUUUCAUGGCGAAGCAGCCCGGCGCUGACUCCCCCCAGCCCGGGCACCAUUCCCUGGCUGGCUGUUUCCCUCAGCCUCUGACACAGACCUUGGAUGUAGUCCUCCCUGCUGGAGUCGUACUUCUGCCACUGAGUGUUCAGACCUUGAACCUGAAACAGCGGUAGAUAGGAAAAUAUUAUUUACCGUCACACUUACAGUAGAAGUUCUUCACCCCAACAAAAGAGAUAAACAUUUAAAAAUUCUAUUUUCUAGUUCAGAUAAAAACUGAAACGAAAGUGCGUCAGCAGCAAGAGAAUUGAUUUUUCUAAUUUCCUGGUCGUCAUUUUCCACGCCAGAGUCGGUAACAGGUAUGAGUAAACUCACGUAGGCGACCCGCUGCUUCAACUGUCUGUUCUCCUCCUCCAGCUGCGAGAUCUGAAGGUUGACGUCACUCCUCUCCGAUGACUCUGUGAACUACAAACAAAACUUGAUACCUUGCAACAUGAGCACAUGCCGGCUCAUACCCCUCGGGGGAGUGUCGUACCGCUUUUCCCUGCUGCUCCACUCCUCCUCCUCCUGCUGCCGUCUUCUCCUUCUCCAGCCUGGCCAGCAGCUCCUGGCACACCUUCACCGUGGCGGCCAGCUGACCCCGGAGCUGGUCGGCUUCCUCAGCCAGAGACGAGUACAGGACCGCUUGGGUGGCGUCCCGCCGCUCCCUCUCCUCCAGGGCCGAGCGAAGCUGUUGGAUCUCCCGGUCUUUCUCGUGGUCCGGCUGAUGCUGGAUUCUCUCCAGCUCCGCAUCUUUGGCUCUUAGCUGAGAAUUCAACCUCUGGAUCUCCUGUGGGAGAAGAUCCAAUCACAUCACUUAGGGACAUUAAAUGAGAUGUGACUUUAAAAACCCCUGAUGAAGAAGAGCAUAUCCAGAGGUUUCUUAGUCAGCGGUUCAUAACAUAAAAAUAUGGUUUCGAGAAACCAUAUUUUCUCAAGUGACCAACACUUGAGGAAGAAGAGCAUCCCCAGAGGUUUCUUAUUCAGCGGUUCAAAACACAAAAAUAUGGUUUCGAGGAAGGAUACUUGAAGAAACACAAUUGUCCAAGAGUCUAUGAAUAGCAUUCUUUGAGCCUGAAAUAUGAAGCCAAACUGAAUAAAAUAUCAGAUUAUAUACCAGAUUAUCAGACAGCACCUUAUCACACAGUGACGGCCGAUUUUCUCCUCGAAGCACAAACAUGCACCAAAUUUCCUCCCAUCUGUUUCAAGCCUUAUCUUAUCAGACAUUCCCAGGUUGACUCUAGUUUUUGGUGCACUUUCCACCGGUAUCAGUUUAUUUAAAGCUCUCGUGGCCUCAUUUGACGAUCUGGAUUUGGCCCCCUGCCCUUCACUUUGACACCUGCCUUGGAGGAAAUUAUGAGGUUGCUGAGUUACUUGUUCACUGAAGAUAGUUUUAACCACGACAGAAGGAAUUGUGAAUUCAUCGCGAGGAAAGCUCAGUUAGUGAUGGUCAGCAGAGGAUGUGUCCACCAGGAGGAUCAUUUAGCAGGUGGCUCGCGCUUCAAAUGAGACUAACAAGAACGGGACGUUGGCCAGUUGAAUGAGAAAUUUGUUGCUCGCAGAAAUCUUUUUAGCCUAAAUACCUGAAUCAAUAGACGGCCGGAGCUAAACAUCGCACCAUAGAAACGCAGUCUUCUGUCUCUUCUUCUGGGCUUCGAGCGAGGCAUGGGUUGAUUUCAUUCAGCUGAGGGGGAGGAGGGGAGUUUGACAACUCAAUUCCAGGGUGUUGCCAACAUUUAUUGAAAGAGCAAGAGCUUGUCAGGACGCCAGUGAAAACUGAGAUCACUUGAAGGCGCUGUGACUCUUGUCACAUUGUGCCUCUUGAGUACGUCGGAAUGUUUUGAAUUCCAUGCAUAAACAGUUGCAUGAAAAUAUAUUUAAAUCAGACUUACAUCUGAAUAUAUUUUAGAGAGACAUAUACUUUUUGUUGCUAGACGUCAGAAGAAACAGAAUAGCAUUUAACAGAAUUAUUUCACAUAAUAAGAGUAUAAGAAAGUACAGUUUAGUAAUAUAAUAAAUGUUUUUAAUGAAAUAUGAGAAGGACAUUUCAAAUAUAAGUAAACAAUAAAGCAAAAAUUAAGGUGCGUAAAAAUAUUCUGAUGGUGUUUUAUUUGUACACAUAUUUUCUGAAUGUUUAUGUUUAAUAUUUAAGUUUAAUUUCUUUUUAGAAGUACAAUCACAUAUACAAAUAGAACUAUCAAUUUUCACACCUCUUCUUAAACAUUACCUCACUGCAAAUUAAUUUUUCUCUGCCAACAAAGCUCUGUUAAGGAAUAGAAACAUGUUAGAUAGUUUGACAGAUGAUGCCAAUAAGUACCCGUAAUUGACAUGCCAACAAAAGCUCCAGGAGGAAGACACCUGCAACCUCUCUCUAUUCUGAUCUCCCUGAGGGGAUGAGCUCCCUUUUUCUGCUGCUUGACCUUGUCAUCUUUUUAUCCACAGUCGGUGGUGAGGGAGGAUUGAUCAAGGUCUUUGUUACAGUCCAUAAGAAACAAUUUAUCUGAUACUCCAGUCAUUCACGAGCAAGAUCAGGUGUUGUAUUUCUGAGCUUCAACCUUCCACCUAACCUUUUGAAAGGUAUAAAAUACUCUGCACAGUGACUCGCCUGCACCUUCACACGCACUGACACACAGGAAUGUUUGGGUUGAUAGUAGUGAAUUUACCGCUGCCAGUUUGGACGCCUUCAACUCAGCAUCGUUGUUCUUCUGUUUCAGCUUACAGAUUUCUUUACACAGACUCUCCAGCAGGGACUUGGAGGGUCCGACGACCACAGACUCGUUAUCUCCCACCAUCACCCGGGUCCUCUCGAAUCUGUCGUCAGUCCAUAAAAAUCCUCAGGUGAUGCUCGAUUGAGGCAGCAGCAGAAGCAGCUCCUCUGUGGUCGUCUGAAGUGAAAAUAAACCCGGACGCCACAGCACACUGAAGCUUGCGGAUGCUGCGGGAAAUCCUCUUGAACUCUCGCUGUCCCUUCUGCCAACGCUUCAGGGACGUGAUGACCAGGUGACCGUCCAUCUUCUGGCCCAUGACCAGGCACGACGUGGUGGUGAUCAGACCGCUGUACGGGUCGAUGUUGAAGAGCUCGUAGCCGGGUCCUGGCAGCAGACUGUACCACACCACCGCGCUCUGACCUGAUGAAACAUGGCGGAUGUUGCAAAUAGUAAAGAGUUUGUCUGCGUCUCCAGCCAUGAGGAAGUAAGAGACCACUCCGUUGUCUCCUCUGUCUCCAUCCGUGGUGAUGAAGUGAUGCAGCUGACUUCCCACCUCUGCAUCCUCCAUCACCUGAACCGAGUCAGCAGAGGUGAAGAUGGGUCGGUUAUCGUUCACGUCCAGCAGAAACAACUGAGCAGUUGCCCACGCCUGCCGCCUCUCUUCCCUCCUCUCUGCCCGGUCAGUGGCCAUCACCGUGAAGGCGAAGCUGCUGGAGCUCUCCCGGUCCAACGGUGCUGCUACGGUCAAGCAGCCAGUCAGUGGGUUUAUCUGGAAUGGCGAGUGUGACGGUCCGGAGUCUGACGCCAAGGAGUAACGUAGAUUGCUGUUUGUAAAUGUCCCAUCAGCAUCUUUAGCGUGGAAAGCCAAGAUCAUGGUACCCACUGCAGCGUCCUCCCUCACACCGAGGGUGACCAGUGGAUCGGGGAACCAGGGCGAGUGGUCAUUUACGUCCUCCACUGUCACACUGACCAGCAAAGUCACGUUCACCCCAGAAGUGAGUGGAGCAUCCUCAGCGCAGAUCAGGAGGAAGUACUGCACCACAGACUCGUAGUCCAGAGGCUGGUAGAUGUAAAUGUCGCCAGAGGAGCCGUCAAUCCCAAAGUUGAUGCUGCCAUCUCCCUCCAUGAUGGAGUAGUGAAACCUUCCAUCAUCGGACACCGCAGCAGAGCCAAUAACUGUCCCUGGAGCUCUGUCCUCUUUCACCGAAAAUAUUCUCACAAUCGGCUGCUCAGCGUGACCAUAGUGGGCCUCCACUCCAUGGACCUGGUGGAGGUAGGUUUGUUAAACUUUGAUGUCUUGUGUUGAGUCCACAUCAAAGCAAAUGGGUUUCAAAGUGAAGAUCAAAGGAGCAUGCAAACAUCAGAGUGUCACGCAAUGGUCAUCGUGGUGUGUCAAUAUGAAAGCAGUGGGCAAACAGGUAGUAGACAAAUGCUAGAACACCACACAAUCGUCGUACGAGUGUGUAGACAUAUCAAAGUAGCAUCCAAAUAUUGAAGCACUGCACAAAUAUCUGAGUCGUGUGUUAACAUCAAAGUAGCAUGCAAAGAUGGGUGUGGUGGAAAAACGCCAGAGAACCGUGCAGUUAUCAAAGUAGUGCAUGAAUGUCAAAUAGGUAUGCAAAGGUCAAUAUACCACUCAGCAGUUAAAAGUUGUGCAGUCACGUAAUGCAGAAACAUUUACAUCGUAUGCAAAGGUCUGUGUAGCAUGCAAACAUUGGGGUAGUUGUUGGGGAAGUUGCUAAGCCAAGGACAAAGUACAACUUGUCAGAGUGGUGCGUAAAGUUUGAAAACAUUGAAGUAUUUGUGUAUGAAGUGCAGUGUGUAAAAGUAUGGAGAAGACUGGAGUAAUCCGCAUUGGUAUGAUGAGCAAAGUACUGCACAAUCGUCAGAGUAGUCGUAGUGCCACUACACCGUGCUACGUAAUGCAAAUUUAAAGCAAAAAAACCCAAACCUGUAUGUGAAUGGUAGCAACUUCCUGUAGUGAGGGACUUCCUUUAUCGCAGGCUAUGACCUUGAGAGUGUAAAACUGUUGCACCUCGUGGCUGAAGAGUUCUGUGUUUCUGAUGUCUCCUGUUCUGCUGUCAAUCUCAAAAUGCCCCAAAGUUUCCUCCAUGUCGUCUGAAACAAGCAGGAGUCUUCAGUUUGAUAAGACCUUCGGACAUCCAGCGAUGAUGACAACGCACCUGUGGCUAUUGAAAAAGUAAUGGUUCCAUUUUCUCCUGCGUCCACGUCCUUGGCAAACAUGGUCGUCACCCGAGAGCCAGCUGGCACUCCGGCCCACAUCUGGAGGCAGGUGUGAGGGAUACGCACAUCGCAAGCUUCUCAAUAGUAAUAUUUCCUGAUGUUCAAGAUACACUUAGGUACUCUACACUUUGGUAUCAUACCUGGACGUUUGUCUCCUUGCUAGCAGGCAGGUGAGUGAAGUGCGGAGCGUUGUCGUUAACGUCGGUGACCAGGAUGUGGACAGUGGCAGUGGAGUUGAGUCUGGGGUGUCCUUGGUCCGUCACCAUGACCUUUAACCUGUGCUGGCAGUGCUGCUCCCGAUCCAACGCCACCCAGUUAAAGAUUUCACCUGUGUUAGAGUGGGAGAUUUUGGCUCAGUGCUUUCAAGUUAACCUGCAGGUGAUGUCAUCAGCCCAACCUGUUUUCGCGUUGAUGCGGAAGAACUUCCCAUCAGAGAGCAGGAUGUAGGUCAGUUGGCCGUUCUUCCCCGAGUCCUUGUCUACAGCCUCGACUUUGCCCACUAGGCCUUGAGGCGACGUACCCUCAGACACAGUGAAGUAGUAGGCGUCAGUGCUGAACUCUGGAAUGUUGUCGUUAAUGUCCAGCACCUGGACGAUCACUGUCGCUGUGGCGUUAGCGCCAUCCUUUGUAGUAGCUAACGCUUUAAAGUGAAAGGCUGGCUCUGUUUCGUAGUCCAAGUUGUGGGUCAGAUACAACCAGCCCGUCUGUGGGUGAAUGCGAAACGGAGGGAGAGGAAACCCCACCUCGGCAGCCAGGGAAUAGGCGACGCUUGUGUGAGAGUCUUGGCUCUGGUGCGCCCUCACUUGGAUAACCCGGGCAUCUUUCCUGUAUCCCUCGCCGAUCUCCACCUGGUAGACCAACGUCUCGAAGGCCAGGUUGUGCUCAGCACUGCUGUGGUCCACACUGACAGUGAGGGUCAGCGUGGAGCUCAGCGACGGCACUCCUUCGUCUUGAGCUACAAUCAGCAGCUGAUGACGUGUCGGGGUUUCUGCCUGCAAACUCCGGUUUAGUAUGACUGUUCCAAAGCUGUGGUCGACAGCAAACAUGCCGUCCCUGCUGCUCUUCAGGAAGUAGAGCACUCUGCCGUUUGCACCGCUGUCUUCGUCAUGUGCGUGCGCAAUAAACACCACCGUUCCAGGUGGGGUGUUCUGAGACACGACGACAGAGUCGGAGGAUUUGGGGAAAACCGGAGUGUUGUCGUUCAAGUCUAGGAUGGUGGCAUUGACCUGUGUGGUGCUGUAGACGGGCGAAGACCCAGAGUAGGCCUGGAGAACCAGCAGAGCGUACGGCUGCGACUCAUGGUCCAGAGCUUUGAGGGUGCUGAUCAGUCCAGAUGUUGGAUGAACAGAGAACAGACCAUGAGGGUCGCCGGAGGAGAUUCGGUAGAACACAGACUCUGUAGAAUCUACAGGAACAGGGAAAAAAAUCUCAAAUUCUUUUCACUUUUCACACUUACAAAAUUGAUCAAUGCGCAAGUUAGUGUAAGGAAAUAGCGAUGUACUUUGUGGUACUGUUAUGAUGAAUUGAUUUUUCAGUUGAUUUCCAUUGGAUUUUUUUACAUGUUUGUAUGCAUCUUAACAAUUUUAAUAGUACGUCAUUUAUUAUUCAUAGAGUCGUGUAGAAUCUGAGCUUUGCUAGUGUUUAUGGGCAAACACAAUACAUUUUUGUUGUGAGUGUGAUGCCAGCUUCUGGUGAUGUCACACUUGCGCUGGGAUUUUGUUUCUUGUUUUUCUUCGGUUUUCCCUAUUAUAUUACACUUCAAAUCAACAUUUUAAAAGUGAUUCCACUCAACAUUAGACAUUUAAGUCUAUGAAAUGAAUGAAUGCGAUCUGAAAAAUAUGACACAGGGUCCAUAGUUGAUGCAUUGUUUGCAUUUGUCAAAGUCUGUACGGUCCAUACUUAUCAAGUCUGUCGACCCUUUAUCAAGAGAAAUCAAGUUCCAUCCUAUUAAAUGUUUUUGCAUAUUUCUCCUGUACUUUUUGGCCUUUGCUUUUAAUGCUGACAAAGGAUCUUUUAAUUGUCAUUUGCUAUAUUUAUUACUAGCCACAGUUUUAUUCAACAUUUGGCCUAGAAUGACCUACAGUAUGUUAUUAUUUUGAAUUUUAUUAUUACGUGAAAACUUCUAAAUAGUGAUUUCUUUAUUUCGCUGUGUAAUAGUAGAACCGUUAUAUUCAAGUUCUUCACUGGUUCCUUGUUCAACACAAUAAACAUCUAAUCCUGCUGUCUAAUCCACUGACUAAUAAGACAAUACAGGUCCAAAUAAUCUCCUCAAUUUGAGUUGAAACAGCAAGAUUAAGACGCCAUCAUCAGACACGACAUAGUUGUUUGUGCUUUAAUCUGAAGAGUUAAUCCGUUAAGUGAUUAAAUGACCCAACGUGACUGUCUCAGGUGGUCGAGGGGGGAACAGUUGUUGAAAGAUCAAGGAAGAAUGAAGGCAAUAAGCUUUUGCCCUGCAUGGCGGAUCAUGGUUCGAACAGUAGGCUCACUGCAUGAAGGUUGCAGGUUUGAUGCCAGCGUGGCAAUAGAGUGGGUUUCCUCCAGACACUCCGGUUUCCUCCCACAGCCCAACAUCCAAAGGUUCAUAGAGGAUUGUCUGUCUAUAUGCAGCCUGGUGCCCUGUGCAGGGUGUCACCUGCCUCUCGCCCAAGGUAGCUGGGAGAAGCUCCAAAUCCUCAAACCCCAGAAAAAUAAAAUGCAAAGUUCUCUGCUUGAUUUUAUCAUCACUGAUAUGUAGUGUUCAGCAGUUUGGGACACGACUGUUGAAGUCGGAGGAAACCAGGUCACGAUGAC